rnacentral:snoRNA from 1 species
UUGCUGUGAUGAUACCUUUAAUUGUGGUUUCAAGUUGCUGAGUGUUGAAUGAGGACAUUAAAUUCCUUGGCUGUGUCUGAGCAU